CAGGUAGCCUAUGUUCUCUCUAAAUAAAACUGCAAAAACAUUAAAACUUGUAUGUUCUCUCUAAAUAUGCAUGACAUACUUGCAACUGGACAAUACGCGAUCAUCAGUUUAAAGUUAAUGUGUACAGUACAACUGUAAAAACAUUAAAACUUGCAAAACUAUUGUGCGCUCUAAAUAUGCAUAAAGUACUUGCAACUGGACAAUACGUAAUCAACAUUUUAAAGUUUAUUUAUACACUACAAAAUAAAUUUGCAUUUAAAACCGGCGUUGAUCACAUAACAGUAAUAUUCAUAAAAAAAAAGAAUCUUUAAAACUUAUGCAUGAAAUAUUUGGCACUGGACGUUAUGUUUCUUAUCGUGUGUCUUUAGUGAUGGUGGAAACCUAAAAUUUAUUAAAAACCCGGAUAACAAGUUUAUAAUUUGAUGGGCUUUUGAAAUACACACAAACUAUUGACAAAAGUAAAAAAAAAUACUGUUAAAACCCCACCAUGCAAUAUUCGGAUAAAUAUAAAAGGCAUCAUCGGAGUUUAUAAGUACAAAAUAAUUAACAAAGUUAACGAUUAAUUCAACUCCAGAACUAUGUGUAUGUUCGCUCUAAACGAAUAUGAAAUACUUGCAACUGGACAAUAAACAACUGCAGUCAAAGUUACUUAAUAAUAACAGAUUAAUUUUGCAAUUAUUAUAAUCAUUAAAAACCUACAUCGAACUAACUUAAUCUGAUAAAUGACAUCUUCAUCACGUGUGUCUCCCAUCAUAGAAUUGCCGUAAACGUUAUCAGCGAUUUUAUUUAAGAGAUACAUGUAAAAGCGCUAAAAGACGUGUAACAUUUUGGCGUUAAAUAUUGGACACUUUUGGCGAAUAACAAUUAUCGGACACGUUUGGGGGUUAUGAAAUCGGACACGUUUGGGAAAUAUUGUACAUUUCGGACACGUUUAGGGAGAAAAGACACGUUUGGGAGAAUCGGACACGUU
rnacentral:lncRNA from 1 species